AAAUGGAUUAGUGGCGCACGGGUGAGUAAUGCAUAGAGUAAUGUGCUCCCAUAGUCUGGGAUAGCCACUGGAAACGGUGAUUAAUACUGGAUACUCCCUACGGGGGAAAGUUUUUCGCUAUGGGAUCGGUCCUAUGUCCUAUCAGCUUGUUGGUGAGGUAAUGGCUCACCAAGGCUAUGACGGGUAUCCGGCCUGAGAGGGUGAUCGGACACACUGGAACUGAGACACGGUCCAGACUCCUACGGGAGGCAGCAGUAGGGAAUAUUGCUCAAUGGGGCGAAAGCCCUGAAGCAGCAACGUCCGCGUGGAGGAUGAAGGUUUUACGGAUUGUAAACUCCUUUUGUUAGAGAAGAUA
rnacentral:rRNA from 1 species